CCUAGGGAGGCUGCAGUGGGGAAUAUUGGGCAACGGGCGCAAGCCUGACCCAGCAACGCCGCGUGAAGGAAGAAGGCUUUCGGGUUGUAAACUUCUUUUAAGAGGGAAGAGCAGAAGACGGUACCUCUUGAAUAAGCCACGGCUAACUACGUGCCAGCAGCCGCGGUAAUACGUAGGUGGCAAGCGUUGUCCGGAUUUACUGGGUGUAAAGGGCGUGUAGCCGGGCUGACAAGUCAGAUGUGAAAUUCCGGGGCUCAACCCCGGACCUGCAUUUGAAACUGUUGGUCUUGAGUAUCGGAGAGGCAGGCGGAAUUCCUAGUGUAGCGGUGAAAUGCGUAGAUAUUAGGAGGAACACCAGUGGCGAAGGCGGCCUGCUGGACGACAACUGACGGUGAGGCGCGAAAGCGUGGGGAGCAAACAGGAUUAGAUACCCGAGUAGUC
rnacentral:rRNA from 1 species